UAUUUUGGACCUCAGCUGGACAACGACAGAGAAUACCAGAAAGGCUUCUCUGGGGGACUUUCUCCACCAGGAGCAGUUUGAACUGAGGGAAGUCAGCUGAACUGGGUCUCCUCUGAAUGAACUCUGCUCAUGGGUGAGGUGGAGGAAGGAUGAAGGAAGGCUCCUAGGUACCAGGACCAGACCACAGCCCCUCAGAAGGAGCCCUGCCACGGAGCGCAGGUAUGGCAAAAGAAAUAAAGGAAUGAGUUUGGAAUAGACGCAAGGUGCUACAGCAAUAAGAAGGCAGCAUGGUGGAGCAGGGGCGCACCUGGAGACACUGAGUCUGAGCUUGUGUCCCAGUCUCAUCACUUCCCAGCCGCGAUAACUUGGACCAAUAACUGAGCUUAGCUGCACCUCACUUUCCUCAGUGGUGUCCUUUGCCCUGGGGUCUUCUCUGGAGCCCGCACAGUGGACUGAAUGCAGGAAGAGAAGCUGGCAUAUUACUGAGGGAAGAUAAACUGAAAGCCUCAUGGAUAUCUCCUCCUGGGUCAGCAAAAAGAAGCAGCCUAGACCAAGCAGAUUGGGGAAGGGGGUGAUGACUGCCCUGGGUGCCCAUGUUGUGCUGAAGAGAAAACUUGGAUCCCAAACCCUCCAAGUCUUUCACUCAAGUAUGCCUGACCAGCUUCACAUUCUGGUGGGGAUUUUUUUUUUCCAUGAACAUAUGGAUUGUGUUAGUGUUUAGGAGGCAGUGCAGUCAGAAAAGAAAAAGAGAAAACAAAGAAGAAAACAAAGUUAAGGUUUAGUACUUUUUAUUAUGUCAAGGCCAAGUUCCAUUUUUUGUGUAUUCUAUUAACACACUGUCUCUGGUUAUUUAAGAAUAAUUUUUUAAAGAUAAAUAAAUAAAUAAGC
rnacentral:lncRNA from 1 species